rnacentral:rRNA from 1 species
UCAAGCUAAAAAGAGCGCAGGGUGGAUGCCUUGGCACUAAGAGCCGAUGAAAGACGUGAUAAGCUGCGAUAAGCUACGGGGAGGAGCACAUAUCCAUUGAUCCGUAGAUUUCUGAAUGGGGAAACCCGGCUGAGCAUACCUCAGUCACCGUGCACUGAAUCCAUAGGUGUACGGAGGGAACCCGGUGAACUGAAACAUCUAAGUAGCCGGAGGAAGAGAAAGAAAACUCGAUUUUCAAAGUAGCGGCGAGCGAAAUGGAAAGAGCCCAAACCGGAGUGCGUGCACUCCGGGGUUCGGACUGCAUUUAUGACUUCUGACUGUAGCGGAACGGUUCUGGAAAGACCGGCCAGAGAGGGUGAGAGCCCCGUAGGCGAAACGGAAAGAAGCAGAGCAGGAUCCAGAGUACCACGAGACACGAGAAACCUUGUGGGAAUGAGCGGGGACCACCCCGUAAGGCUAAAUACUCCUUAGUGACCGAUAGAGCAGAGUACUGUGAAGGAAAGGUGAAAAGGACCCCGGGAGGGGAGUGAAAGAGAACCUGAAACCCUGUGUUUACAAACUGUGGAAGUACCAUACGAGUACAACCGCGUACUUUUUGUAGAACGGUCCGGCGAGUUACGUUUACUGGCGAGGUUAAGCACUUAAGGUGCGGAGCCGAAGGGAUACCAAGUCUUAACAGGGCGUAAAGUCAGUGUACGUAGACCCGAAACCGGGUGAUCUACCCAUGUCCAGGCUGAAGUUGCCGUAAAAGGCAAUGGAGGGCCGAACGCACAUCCGUUGAAAAGGGUGGCGAUGAGGUGUGGGUAGGGGAGAAAUUCCAAUCGAACCCGGAGAUAGCUGGUUCUCCUCGAAAUAGCUUUAGGGCUAGCCUCGUGUUAACCUUGUGGAGGUAGAGCACUGAAUAUCCUAGGGGGCGUCAAAGUCUACCGAAGAUUAUCAAACUCCGAAUGCCAUAAAGGUGAUGCACGGGAGUCAGACUGCACGAGAUAAGUUGGGUGGUCAAAAGGGAAAGAGCCCAGACCUACAGCUAAGGUCCCAAAGUGCGUGUUAAGUGGAAAAGGAUGUGGGAUUUCGAAGACAACUAGGAUGUUGGCUCAGAAGCAGCCACACAUUAAAAGAGUGCGUAAUAGCUCACUAGUCGAGAGGUCCUGCGCCGAAAAUGUCCGGGGCUGAAACACGACACCGAAGCUUAGGAACAGAAAUGUUGGUAGAGGAGCAUUGUUAGCGGAACGAAGCCAUACCGGAAGGAGUGGUGGACUGCUAAGAAGAGAGAAUGCCGGAAUGAGUAGCGAGAUUGAAGUGAGAAUCUUCAAGGCCGAAUAUCUAAGGUUUCCAGGGUAAAGCUGAUCUGCCCUGGGUAAGUCGGGGCCUAAGGCGAGGUCGAAAGACGUAGCCGAUGGACAACAGGUUGAAAUUCCUGUACUGCGAUAUAUCAGAAAUGUGGGGACACAGAAGGAAAGUGUGAGCCGGGAAAGGAAAGACCGGUGCAAGCACAGGAGGAGAGAUACAGGCAAAUCCGUAUUUCAAUCCAAUGGUGUUACGCGGAGCGAACAAAAGUAGCGAAGCACACAGACCAUCUGUCGAGAAAAGCCGCUAUUGUGUAUACCGUACCCGUACCGUAAACCGACACAGGUGGAUGAGGAGAGAAUCCUAAGGCCGGCGGGAGAAGCAUUGUUAAGGAACUCGGCAAAAUGACCCCGUAACUUCGGGAGAAGGGGUGCUCACGCAAGUGAGCCGCAGAGAACUGGCCCAAGCAACUGUUUAGCAAAAACACAGGUCUAUGCAAAACCGAAAGGUGAGGUAUAUGGGCUGACGCCUGCCCGGUGCUGGAAGGUUAAGAGGAGAUGUUAGAGCAAUCGAAGCAUUGAAUUUAAGCCCCAGUAAACGGCGGCCGUAACUAUAACGGUCCUAAGGUAGCGAAAUUCCUUGUCGGGUAAGUUCCGACCCGC